ensembl:lncRNA
AGCCCAGUUUAAUGCACUUCCUAAUAUGAAUAAUAUAAAAAAAUGUGCAAUAAUGACACUAUGAGACAGUAUGACAUUAUGAGUGAUUUUGAGUCAUCUGUCUUGGCACCAGCUGCAGGUCCAGCACGACCAACUGGAGUCAAAGUCAAUGACAGGCUGGAGUUGAUCUUAUCAAAAAGUCAUAAAGCAGAGAGUAGCCUGUCAUUUGAGGAGACACGCUGUUCCUAAAAAGGAACUUACUGAUACGCUGUAUACACACAGAAUGAACUUUGAACAGUGUGCCUAUGAUGACGUGACUGAUAAACACACAUUAAUGUGGGAUGGAGGGGAGAGACAAACCUCAGGCCAUGUUUAGUUUCGACAGUAGCCCCAAGGAAGCCUGCAUGCUGCUGCUCUUCUUCUUUUGUUUGAUUGUAUUGCAAAGACUGGAUUAACAUCUCCUCCUGAGUUCACAAGACCAUGACUAUCGGCAGGAGCUCCAGAAAGAACAAGGCCCCUUGUUCUCCUCCUUUCCUGGACAAGGCUAAUGGAUUCUAUGGGCGCUUGGAUGAGAUUUUUGGAGACGAUGUACAGAUGGAGAGAGAGACCUCCGAAGAACAGAUAGGAACCGUAAACCAGAACACCCAAGACAAUAGUACAGCUCCAGGCUGGAGAGAAGAAGAUGACCAUGUGGUUGAUUUUAACCAGGGUAUGAUGGAUGACGAUGGGACCACUUUACUGAAGAGAAAGCCCAGCAGACUGAGUCGCCGCUGGAGCAGGAUGAGCUCCAGGAAGGGAAAAUAUGACAAAUUUUACUCAGAAAAAGAACUUGAUAAUGAGACCAACAAGUCCACAUCUGUAGAUCUAAACCCAGAGGUGCCACCAGCAACCCAAACCCUGGAAAAUAGCAAAGAACCACAGCCAACACUGAUCCAUUUCUCUGUGAGGGAGCAUGCUGAUGACCAGAUUCUGUUCUCAGGGAAGAAAGAAGGAGAACGGGAAGAGGAAGACACAAGAAAAGAGAAGAAGACAGAAGGCAAACUGAAUGGAGAGUCAAUGGAAGUUGUAAAGAGGACCACUCUCAAGAAUUAUCGCAAGGCCGUGGACAGAGCUUUCCGUCGAGGAUGGGAGACUUUUGUUGCCAAUCUGUACAGUGUGACACUGACACCUAUAUCAUCAACCUCCUCUUCGUCCACACCAUCAGACAAAGCUGAAUUGAACAGGAAUCGUGUUUUAGCAGAAUUCAGUUAA